rnacentral:rRNA from 1 species
UCAGGAUGAACGCUAGCUACAGGCUUAACACAUGCAAGUCGAGGGGCGAGCGGGGACUGUGCUUGCACAGUUGCCGGCGACCGGCGCACGGGUGAGUAACGCGUAUCCAACCUUCCCCUUAGUAGGGCAUAGCCCGUAGAAAUGCGGAUUAAUACCCUAUGUUCUUCGUCGAGGACAUCUGAAGUGAAGCAAAGAUUUAUCGCUAAGGGAUGGGGAUGCGUCUGAUUAGGCAGCAGGCGGGGUAACGGCCCACCUGGCCGACGAUCAGUAGGGGUUCUGAGAGGAAGGUCCCCCACAUUGGAACUGAGACACGGUCCAAACUCCUACGGGAGGCAGCAGUGAGGAAUAUUGGUCAAUGGUCGAGAGACUGAACCAGCCAAGUAGCGUGCAAGGAUGACGGCCCUAUGGGUUGUAAACUGCUUUUAUGCGGGGAUAAAGUGCGGCACGUGUGCCGUUUUGUAGGUACCGCAUGAAUAAGGACCGGCUAAUUCCGUGCCAGCCGCUGC